GUGUCCACUUAGGCAGCACCUGUAUUAAAAUUGGAACAACACAGGGAAGAGGAGUGUGAUCCCUCUGCAAGGAUGACAUGCAAAUCCACGAAGCCAUCUGUAUUUUU